AUUGAACGCUGGCGGCAUGCUUUACACAUGCAAGUCGAACGGUAACAGGCCGCUAGGUGCUGACGAGUGGCGAACGGGUGAGUAAUGCAUCGGAACGUGCCCAGUCGUGGGGGUUAACUACUCGAUAGAGUAGCUAAUACCGCAUACGAUCUAUGGAUGAAAGCGGUGGACCGUAAGGCCUCGCUCGAUUGUAUCGGCCGAUGUCCGAUUAGGUAGUUGGUUGGGUAAAGGUUCACCAAGCCAACGAUCUGUAGCUGGUCUGAGAGGACGACCAGCCACACUGGGACUGAGACACGGACAAGACUCCUACGGGAGGCAGCAGUGGGGAAGGUUGGACAAUGGGCGAAAGCAUGAUCCAGCAAUGCCGCGUGAAGGAAGAAGGCCUUCGGGUUGUAAACUGCUUUUGUACGGAAAGAAAAGGAUCUGGUUAAUACCCGGGGAUAAUGACGGUAACGGAAGAAUAAGCACCGGCUAACUACGUG
rnacentral:rRNA from 1 species